AACGCUAGCUACAGGCUUAACACAUGCAAGUCGAGGGGAAACGACAUCGAAAGCUUGCUUUUGAUGGGCGUCGACCGGCGCACGGGUGAGUAACGCGUAUCCAACCUGCCCACCACUUGGGGAUAACCUUGCGAAAGUAAGACUAAUACCCAAUGAUAUCUCUAGAAGACAUCUGAAAGAGAUUAAAGAUUUAUCGGUGAUGGAUGGGGAUGCGUCUGAUUAGCUUGUUGGCGGGGUAACGGCCCACCAAGGCGACGAUCAGUAGGGGUUCUGAGAGGAAGGUCCCCCACAUUGGAACUGAGACACGGUCCAAACUCCUACGGGAGGCAGCAGUGAGGAAUAUUGGUCAAUGGACGAGAGUCUGAACCAGCCAAGUAGCGUGCAGGAAGACGGCCCUAUGGGUUGUAAACUGCUUUUAUAAGGGAAUAAAGUGAGAGUCGUGACUCUUUUUGCAUGUACCUUAUGAAUAAGGACCGGCUAAUUCCGUGCCAGCAGCCGCGGUAAUACGGAAGGUCCGGGCGUUAUCCGGAUUUAUUGGGUUUAAAGGGAGCGUAGGCCGGAGAUUAAGCGUGUUGUGAAAUGUAGACGCUCAACGUCUGCACUGCAGCGCGAACUGGUUUCCUUGAGUACGCACAAAGUGGGCGGAAUUCGUGGUGUAGCGGUGAAAUGCUUAGAUAUCACGAAGAACUCCGAUUG
rnacentral:rRNA from 1 species